GAUGAACGCUAGCGGCAGGCUUAAUACAUGCAAGUCGAGGGGCAGCAGGGAUAGCAAUAUUCGCUGGCGACCGGCGCACGGGUGCGUAACACGUAUACAAUCUGCCUUUAACAGGGGGAUAGCCUUUCGAAAGAGAGAUUAAUACCCCAUAAUAGUUGGUUCGGCAUCGAACUAAUUUGAAAGCUCCGGCGGUUAAAGAUGAGUAUGCGUCUGAUUAGCUAGAUGGNGAGGUAACGGCUCACCAUGGCAACGAUCAGUAGGGGAUCUGAGAGGACCUA
rnacentral:rRNA from 1 species